GGCGGCACAUAGCCGCGCGUCGAGGCCACUGCAAAGCCCGUCUCUCCUCUCGCUCUCGUCGCCUUGCUUCUGCCGACGUCGACAGCAAACAGCCACCGCCGCCACCGUCGCCGCGGCGGCUGAUGCCGCGCGCCCCAAGCCGAGGGACGCCGGGCGCGGCCGCCACCUCCGCCGCUGCCGCGGAAGGGCCGGGAAGAGCAGGGCCGCGGGUGCCAAUGCCGCGGCGGGCGAGGGCUCCAAGGAGAGCCCCGGCCCCGACCCUGCCCCCAGAUGGGGGCGGAGUACGUGCCGGAGAAGCCCGGCCUCGACGCCGGCGACCCCCCUCCUCGGCGCCUCCGCUACCGUCUUCGAGAAAUUCGGCUUCAAGGAGCCCCCGCCGCCGCACCUCCCGCGGUUUCCGGGUCCUCCUCUCCUCCCGCCGAGGGCGAGGAGAAGGAGAAUGAAGGCGCGCCCCAAAUGCCACGAAGAAGGGGUCAGAUGCCACUGAUAGUGAAGCUGCAGAAGAAGCAGUUGCAGAGGAUGAAGAUUGCAGAGCUGAAGCAGAUGUGCGACAAGCCCGAUGCUGUUGGGGUCUGGGAUGGUAAUGCCCCUGAUCCGAAGUUGCUUGUAUAUCUGAAAGUUCCUGCAGGAACACGGUCCCUGUUCCAAGACACUGCUGCCAGAAACGAAAGUUCCUGCAGGGACUCCUGUAACAUCCAAGGAAGCUGGAAAUGGUGUUGCACUGCUUGAAUGGUUUCUGUAGUGUAUAUAGGAUAGUUGAAUCUACUGUGUAUUUAUUUGAUGCCUCUUCUGCUGUACAAAUUAGAGUCCAACUAGAGUCCAUCGCCUUUGAUAUUUCGUGCAUUAGAAUCAGAUCGCACUUCUUGAACUGUUAUGUUUUUGUUGAAGACUAAAAAAUUCUAAACUCAAGAUAGCAUCUAGCACUACCAAUUUUAACCUAUUGCUCUGUUCAUAUUCUUGGAUUCAUGCAUUAUGCUGUUGUUUCAGGGAAAGAGGGAUAUUGAAAAACAACAGUUCCAGCUUCCAGACUUCAUUGCUGCAUCUGGAAUUGAAAAAAUAAGACAGGUGUCAAAUUUGAGUAUUGCUGGGCCCAUCACUCAGAGUUAUCAUGGUGGGUCUCAAAGUUCACGAUUCAUAAGGCCUGAGAGCAAGAAGGAGUUGUUGUUCUCAAGGGCACUGCAAUCAUGGCUAUUUCCACAGUCCAUGUUACCUGCUUCCAUCAUAUCUGCUAUGCUCUCAUCAAAUACAUGA